GAUGAACGCUGGCGGCGUGCCUAACACAUGCAAGUCGAACGGAAACAGAAUGAAACCUAGUGAUUUCUGUUUCAGUGGCGGACGGGUGAGUAACGCGUGGGUAACCUGCCUUGCACUGGGGGAUAACACUUAGAAAUAGGUGCUAAUACCGCAUAAGCGCACAAUACCGCAUGGUAGAGUGUGAAAAACUCCGGUGGUGCAAGAUGGACCCGCGUCUGAUUAGCCAGUUGGCGGGGUAACGGCCCACCAAAGCGACGAUCAGUAGCCGGCCUGAGAGGGUGAACGGCCACAUUGGGACUGAGACACGGCCCAA
rnacentral:rRNA from 1 species